UAGUCAUCUCAGUAACCGUUGGUACUCCCGUAACAUGAAUUAAAAGACUAUUUUCGACUUAAUAGUCUCUUUCUUGCGUUGAACUCCCAGGACCCACAGUCUCGGUCGAAGAGCUAGCACCGAGCUACGCUGCACGGGUUACCGCUAUAAACUGAAAGAUGAUCAUUAAUAAAGGAAAAAUGCGUGGGCCCUUCAAUGGCUAGAAUCUGCAUGGAAAAGCAAAAGUCAACAGGCAGGACCGUUUGCAACCCUAAAAGCUAUGGUUAGCAAUCCAUUCACCUCCAAUAAUAUAUCGAAAGGUCAAAUAUUUAAAUAUUCAAAUCCAGUCAAGAAAUUUUAGACACGUUAAAGCGUCAAAACCCAGGAGCCUAGGAACGCAUUAAUGAGGGAGCAGAGCGGCAUAAUGAAAGAGUUACGGAACAUAUCAAUGAAUAUGAAGUGUGACGAAAAUCCCUCGAUGACAUCUACCAUAUCUGAAUUUCGUACAGCUGCGCCUCUUGAUACGAUAUCUGCUGGAUUCUGUUUCCUUGGGACAUGCCGACAUGGCGCUUCAUCUGACCACUUUUGAAUCUCCCCAACUCGGUUUGAUACUAAUGUGGACAAGGAAGAUGGUUGAGUCUAAAUCCAAAGAAGCGUGACUUCGGAAUCUCACCAAUACACAAUUCGUUUGAUAGACACUUUUAAUUGUGACUUUAUACGGCGACAUUGAUCUGCGAGAAAGUGAGCGAAACAUAACUCAAGCCUUGGGAGCGUCUUAGUCUUGAGCGGUGCUAUUUUUGACUUUGAAGUCAAAAACUAUAUUUUAUAACCUUAUGCAGUUUUGCUAGGAAUGUAGACGCAAGCUUCACAAGGAUGCGUCGGCAAGGGCAUGCAAU